ACAGAUUGACAGUUGGCACCGGCGGCGGCGCUCUGUUCGCAAGCGAACCAAAUUCCAAGCAAGCAAAUUUCUACCCUUAAUACCUACUUAAUCUAAAAUUCAGUCUAUCCUAACAUGAUAUAGAUAAUAGCAUCAAACGCUUUUCUCUGCGCCCUUUCUUUCGCCCUUUUCUUGGCUUUUUUAGAGCAGUACUCUGCUCUACGGCUCUAGUCUCUCUCUGUCUCUCUCUCUCUGCUCUCUACCGGGCCUUCUUCUGGUUUAAAUGGCUCUAGUAAGUACUAAUCAUAGUCUUAAUCACGUUGAUGCAAAUCCAGUAUCAUCAAUCUGCAGGAGCGAGUCCUUCCCAUAUGGGUAUAUAGAGCACAACUGCAUGAUGAUGGAGAAGAGACAGCUGUUCCUGAGGAGCUACCAGUUCUGCAGGAAGAGGUCUCUGGGGGAGAGAAUCAAGAGAUCCUUGGUUAGGGUUAAGAGGGUCAUGUGGUUUAGGCUACGGUCUGCCCGUAAACUGAGAAGGUUGGUCUUUUCCAGACUCCGAUUUGCCUUCUACCUUGGAAGAAGAUAUAUCCGUCUCAAGAACAACCAUUACCGCCACAGUCGUAACUCCUCUUGCUUCUGCAAUUUGAUGCAGAGCACCAAAAACUUCCUGUCUUACAGUCAAUUACUUCAUGGAAAGGUAGAAGAGGUUCGAAUAUAGAACGACCAUAGCAAAAGGGGUUAUUAAUCACAACCAAACUUGUCCUCAGCAUUGCACAGUUUUACAAUCCAGAAUGAGAAAAUGGUGGCCGGCGGCCUUAGUUUCUUAUAUCUGCCUCUUUAAUAUGUAUUUGCUUGUUUUCUAGUGGUAAUACCAGCUACCCAUGAUUUAAGCAAAAAUAAAUUGAUACUAUAGAGUAUAGUCUUGACAACAUUAAGCAGUUAUACGAUGUCUGGAGUUAUGGAGGUAAGCAAAUAUAAAGCAAAAAUAAAUCAGGGAUGAUAUUAUUCUGUUUUCUUA